rnacentral:rRNA from 1 species
UGGGGAAUUUUGGACAAUGGGCGAAAGCCUGAUCCAGCAAUGCCGCGUGUGUGAAGAAGGCCUUCGGGUUGUAAAGCACUUUUGUCCGGAAAGAAAUCCUUGGCUCUAAUACAGUCGGGGGAUGACGGUACCGGAAGAAUAAGCACCGGCUAACUACGUGCCAGCAGCCGCGGUAAUACGUAGGGUGCAAGCGUUAAUCGGAAUUACUGGGCGUAAAGCGUGCGCAGGCGGUUUGCUAAGACCGAUGUGAAAUCCCCGGGCUCAACCUGGGAACUGCAUUGGUGACUGGCAGGCUAGAGUAUGGCAGAGGGGGGUAGAAUUCCACGUGUAGCAGUGAAAUGCGUAGAGAUGUGGAGGAAUACCGAUGGCGAAGGCAGCCCCCUGGGCCAAAUACUGACGCUCAUGCACGAAAGCGUGGGGGAGCAAACAGGAUUAGAUACCCUGGUAGUCCACGCCCUAAACGAUGUCAACUAGUUGUGGGGAUUCAUUUCUUAGUAACGUAGCUAACGCGUGAAGUUGACCGCCUGGGGAGUACGGUCGCAAGAUUAAAACUUAAAUGAAUUG